rnacentral:rRNA from 1 species
UGGGGGAUAUUGCACAAUGGGCGAAAGCCCGAUGCAGCGACGCCGCGGGGGGGAUGAAGGCCUUCGGGUUGUAAACUUCUUUUGCUCUGAACAAGGCAUGCCUGUGGGGUGUGUUGAGUGUAGGGGGUGAUUAGCGCCGGCUAACUACGUGCCAGCAGCCGCGGUAAUACGUAGGGCGCGAGCGUUGUCCGGAAUUAUUGGGCGUAAAGGGCUUGUAGGUGGCUGGUUGCGUCUGUCGUGAAAGCUCAUGGCUUAACUGUGGGUUUGCGGUGGGUACGGGCUGGCUUGGGUGCAGUAGGGGAGGCUGGAAUUCCUGGUGUAGCGGUGGAAUGCGCAGAUAUCAGGAGGAAUACCGGUGGCGAAGGCGGGUCUCUGGGCUGUUACUGACGCUGAGGAGCGAAAGCGUGGGGAGCGAACAGG